rnacentral:rRNA from 1 species
AGUACCGUGAGGGAAAGGUGAAAAGCACCCCGGGAGGGGAGUGAAACAGUCUCUGAAACCGUGCGCUUACAAACCGUCGGAGCCUUUCGGGGUGACGGCGUGCCUAUCGAAAAAUGAGUCUGCGAGUCAGUGGCACGUGGCGAGCGUAACCCGUGUGGGGUACGCGUAGCGAAGGCGAGUCUCAAAAGGCGUUUGAGUCGCGUGUCCUGGACCCGAAGCGGGAUGAUCUAGCCCUGAGCAGGUUGAAGCGCGGGUAAGACCGCGUGGAGGACCGAACCCACCUGGGUUGAAAACCGGGGGGAUGACUUGGGGUUAGGGGUGAAAGGCCAAUCAAAUUCCGUGAUAGCUGGUUCUCUCCGAAAUGCAUUUAGGUGCAGCGUCGGUUGAUUGCGUCGCGGGGGUAGAGCUACCGGAUGCUUGCGGGCCCUUGUUGGGUACCAACAGCAGCCGAACUCCGAAUACCGUUGACGUGUAUUCCGGCAGUGAGUCGGCGGGGGAUAAGCUCCGUCGUCGAGAGGGAGACAGCCCAGACCGUCGUCUAAGGUCCCGAAGCGUGUGCUAAGUGGGAAAGGAUGUGGAGUCGCAUAGACAGCCAGGAGGUUGGCUCAGAAGCAGCCAUCCUUGAAAGAGUGCGUAACAGCUCACUGGUCUAGUGGUUCCGCGCCGACAAUGUAGCGGGGCUCAAGCACACCACCGAAGACGCGGCAGUAUUUUGUACUGGGUAGGAGAGCGUCCCAUGAGGGGCGAAGCGGCCGUGUGAACGCGCCGUGGACUUCAUGGGAGUGAGAAUGCAGACAUGAGUAGCGAGAGACGGGUGAGGAUCCCGUCCGCUGGAUGACCAAGGGUUCCGGGGCCACGUUCGUCGUCCCCGGGUGAGUCGGGUCCUAAGGCGAGGCCGACAGGCGUAGUCGAAUGGAUGAACGGGCUGAUAUUCCCGUACCGGCAGCGAACCGAAACAACCGAGGCCUGGGGCGCUAACCUCCGGGUCCGUGCCGUCUCCCCUUUCGGGGGGUCGCGGCGCGGGCGCGUUGGGAUCCCCCCUCGUAGUAGGUCAGCGCAGGAGUGACGCAUCAGGGCAGCCGGCCGCGGAGGUGGUUUUCCGUGGUCAAGCACGCAGCCAGUCAUGUAGGCAAAUCCGCAUGGCGCGCAUGGCGAGGUGUGAUGAUGGGAGCCGUUAUGGCUCGAUAUCCGGUUGUCCAGGCCGUCGAGAAAAGCCUCGGCGUGAGGGCCAUGGCCGCCCGUACCCCAAACCGACACUGGUGGUCAGGUAGAGAAUACCAAGGCGAUCGAGCGAAUCCUGGUCAAGGAACUCGGCAAAUCACUCCCGUGCCUUCGGUAUAAGGGAGACCCGCUGGGGUGAACCGGCUAGCCCGGGGAGCUUUGGUGGGUGGCACAGACCAGGGGGUAGCGACUGUUUACCAAAAACACAGGUGCAUGCGAAGGCGAAAGCCGCUGUAUAUGCACUGACGCCUGCCCGGUGCCGGAAGGUUAAGAGGAUCCGUCAACUCUUCGGAGCGAAGCGGUGAAUUCAAGCCCCGGUAAACGGCGGUGGUAACUAUAACCAUCCUAAGGUAGCGAAAUUCCUUGUCGGGUAAGUUCCGACCUGCACGAAUGGCGUAACGACUUCCCCACUGUCUCGACCAGGAGCUCGGCGAAAUUGCAGUACGAGUAAAGAUGCUCGUUAAGCGCAGAAGGACGAAAAGACCCCGGGACCUUUACUAUACCUUGGUAUUGGCAUUAGGCGCGGAUUGUGUAGCAUAGGCGGGAGGCUUCGAAGCGGGUGCGCCAGCAUUCGUGGAGCCGCAAGGUGAAAUACCGCUCUGUUCUCGUUUGACGUCUAACCUCGACAAGUCAUCCUUGUCAGGGACAGUGCCUGGCGGGUAGUUCAACUGGGGCGGUUGCCUCCCAAAGAGUAACGGAGGCGCUCAAAGGUCCGCUCAGCCCGGUUGGCAAUCGGGUGUCGAGUGUAAUCGCACAAGCGGGCUUGACUGCGAGGACGACGGUCCGAGCAGGGACGAAAGUCGGAGAUAGUGAUCCGGUGCCGGCGCACGGGCGCGGCAUCGCUCAACGGAUAAAAGGUACCCCGGGGAUAACAGGCUGAUCAUUCCCAAGAGUCCAUAUCGACGGGAUGGUUUGGCACCUCGAUGUCGGCUCGUCGCAUCCUGGGGCUGGAGCAGGUCCCAAGGGUUCGGCUGUUCGCCGAUUAAAGCGGCACGCGAGCUGGGUUCAGAACGUCGUGAGACAGUUUGGUCUCUAUCCUCUGCGCUCGUUGGAAUCUUGAGGAGGCCUGCCCAUAGUACGAGAGGACCUGGGUGGACGAACCUCUGGUAUGCCGGUUGUCGCGCCAGCGGCACGGCCGGUUGGCUACGUUCGGAAGGGAUAACCGCUGAAAGCAUCUAAGCGGGAAGCCU